GACGAACGCUGGCGGCGUGCCUAAUACAUGCAAGUUGAGCGCUGAAGGUUGGUACUUGUACCAACUGGAUGAGCAGCGAACGGGUGAGUAACGCGUGGGGAAUCUGCCUUUGAGCGGGGGACAACAUUUGGAAACGAAUGCUAGUACCGCAUAAAAACUUUAAACACAAGUUUUAAGUUUGAAAGAUGCAAUUGCAUCACUCAAAGAUGAUCCCGCGUUGUAUUAGCUAGUUGGUGAGGUAAAGGCUCACCAAGGCGAUGAUACAUAGCCGACCUGAGAGGGUGAUUGGCCACAUUGGGACUGAGACACGGCCCAAACUCCUACGGGAGGCAGCAGUAGGGAAUCUUCGGCAAUGGACGAAAGUCUGACCGAGCAACGCCGCGGGAGGGAAGAAGGGUGUCGGAUCGUAAAACUCUGUUGGUAGAGAAGAACGUUGGUGAGAGUGGAAAGCUCAUCAAGUGACGGUAACUACCCAGAAAGGGACGGCUAACUACGUG
rnacentral:rRNA from 1 species